rnacentral:rRNA from 1 species
UACGGGGGGGGUAAGCGUUGUUCGGAAUUACUGGGCGUAAAGGGCUCGUAGGCGGCCAACUAAGUCAUACGUGAAAUCCCUCAGCUUAACUGGGGAACUGCGUGUGAUACUGGAUGGCUUGGAUUUGGGAGAGGGAUGCGGAAUUCCAGGUGUAGCGGUGAAAUGCGUAGAUAUCUGGAGGAAUACCGGUGGCGAAGGCGGCAUCCUGGACCGGCAUUGACGCUGAGGAGCGAAAGCCAGGGGAGCAAACGGG